GCCCAGAAACUACAGAAACUACGGAAUCGCUUCGAGUCUUUCCACCAGCAAACCUGAGUCCGCGGACUUCACCCCCAGUGGCUUCUGGUUCCAUUCGAUCCAUUCAGCCUGUGGGAUCAUGGGUGGAAGGAUUGAGGUACACAGACAAGGAAGGACACAGGACUAGUGACUCCCAGGAACCCUCAUAUUUUAAUGCUGAGAGGAAUCUGAGACUUUAGGUCCAACCUCUUCCUCCUGCGGGUGCUAAGAUGGGAGAUCUGGAACCUUCUUUCUCUUUUUGGAGAAUUUUCUCAUCUGUCCAACCCUCCUCUGCUUGAGCUCUCAGAACUUGAGCUUCUUUGGUGAAUUCAAACAUGCCUAGAUGGAAUCUUUGACUCACAGACUCUGAGCACCAUAGGCACAUUCAGAGACUCAGAGGACCGAAGAACCUGGGAAGUAAGGCAUUGCUGAGGGAUGCGGAAGCCUGUAUUAGCCCGAGACACACAGCACAGAGAAGAGGUAUCCCGGAAUUGAAGUUUCAGCCUUGGAGGGGCUUCAGUCAUCUCUGCCUAUGACAGAGAAACCUCACUUCAAGGGUCUGUACUUCAAGGAUGGGAAGGUCACCACCCCAAGGGGAUCCCUCCCUGGUGGUCUUACUCCUGGAAACGUCAGAAUCCUGAGACUCUGGAGGAAGGAACAACUUUUGUGGGUCCUCAAUCUCUUUCCACUUUUAUCCUCCAUCUGUUUCGUUAUCGACUUCAGCAGCUUAAUGCACUGGGAGAGCCGGUGACAAACCGUCAGGGAACCAAGGUCUCAGCGACCUCUGCACCGGCUUUUAUCCAUCCAAUUUCAUGCAGCUGGAGCCCUGGCUGCCACUCAGCUGGGAAAUGCGGGAACUGUAUUCAAUCAUAAGGUACAGGCAGGUGACAGGUCUCUUGUCACUGCCCACCCCCAGGUUCCCAAGCUCCCUAAUCAGAGGAACCAUCCUUUGGAAUACCUGUCUCUAUUCCCCUGUUUUUCUUCACAGCUGUUUCUGGGGCAUCAUGAGUGAUUUCUCAGGAGGACGGCCCAGAGCCUCCUCCACAGGGUAGUGCCAGAGAAUAGUGCUCCCAGAACAAGCAUGCGGCAGGUAGCCCCAGGGCCAAAUCCCUACCUUUAUUCUGUGCGUAUGUUUAUGUGUGUGCUUAUGUGUGUGUGUGAGCAUGCAUGUGUAUGUGUGUGCUUGAGUGUGUGUGCGCACGUGGAGACCAGAGGUCAGCCUCAGGAUAUUUGGAGACCCGGGGCUUGCUGAAUCGGUUACACGGCUAUGGAGCACCAGGGUCCCUCCUGCUUCUUCCUUCUUGUUGCUGGGAUGACAAGUGUCUGUACCACCAGGCCAGGUUUUAUUUUGUUCUGAUGUGAGUUUUGGGUUCAAACUGAGGUGGGGGUCUUUGUGCUUGAACAGCAUUCUGAUUUUUUUUUCUUUUUAGGAUUUUUAUUUGUAUGUUUGGUUGAUUGGUUGGUUGGUUGGUCUGUUGGUUGUUUUUUGUUUGUUUGUUUGUUUUUUGAGACAGGAUUUCUCCGAGUAGCCCUGGCUGUCCUUAAACUCAUUCUGUAGACCAGGCUGGCCUCGAACUCACAGAGAUCCGCCUGCCCUUGCCUCUAGAAUGCUAGGAUUAAAGGUGUGUACUGCCACCUCCUGGUCUUGAAGGGUUUUAGCCAACUGACACAAACUAGAGCUAGUUACCCAUGAAGAGGAACUUCAGAAAUGUUUCCACCGGACUGUCUAUGGAUGAGACUGUGGGCAUUUUUCACAAUUGCUAGUUGACAGGGAAGCAUCCAGUCCACUGUGGGUAGCACCAUCCCUAAGCAGGUGCUCCUGAGUUGUAGAAGGAAGCAGGCUGAGUAAGCCAUGAGGAGCAAGCCAGUAAGUAGAACUCCUCUAUGGACUUUGCUUCAGUUCCUGCCUCCAGGGUCCUGUCUUGCUUGAGUUUCUUCCCUGAUCCCUCAGAAAUGGACGGCUACCUGGAAAUGUAUGGGGAAAAAGAUCCUUUCUUCUCAGGUUGCUUUUGCUUAUUGGUGAGUUUUAUCUCACAGAAAGAUAAAAGAAGACACACAGAAAGCAUGUCUUGUCUAAGCAUCCUCCAGCCUUCCCCUUUAAUUUUUACUAGUACAUAUUUCUUUACAUCUUAGGGAACAUAUUUGGCUACUCAUUUCCAUAGGGGGAAAAAAAGUAGUAAUUUAUCUCUCAAGGCCCUGGAGGCUGAAGUCUAUGAUCUGCGUACUAACUGGAUCUACUUCUACUGUGGCCUGUCUGCCUGAACACAUAGGUGACUGCCUACCUUCUGGGUCCUCAGACUACAAGGGCAGGGAAUGUGACCAUGAAACCCUCACACACAUGAGACCAUCACCAUCACAUGGUUGGGAGGAAUGUUCAGGACUUAGCAUACAAAUUCCCCAUAUGGGUAUGCUAGGGACUAGGGGUAUAUUGCUGUCACUGCAAGGGGUGGAACUGUCCCACUUCUAAAAUUUAAAACAUGCUCAAGCUAGAUACGUUGCCUCCAGCCAGAUGUAUAAUCCUAGUAUUCUAGAGGUUGAGAUGGAGUCUUGGGUGGGGGUGGGAGUUGCUGUAAGUUUGAUACCAGCCUGGGUUAUUUAGUGAACACCAGGCCAGCCUGGGCUACUUAGUGAGCACCAGGCCAGCCAGAGUCAAACAGCAAGACCUUGACUCAAAGCAAACACAAUUUUGUGCCUAUUUCUGUCCUUGGGUCCUCAAGUCCUUUGUAGCUACUGGGCCAUGUCAUGUCCAAAUUAAACACAGCAGCAGAAGCAGAAGCAACAGCAGCCAUUUUGCCGUCCUGUGUCCCCCACGGCGUUUUGGGUACAUUCACUCAGUUCAGCAUCAGCAUCAGCCUAUGGGGCAGAUUGCUUACAAGAUAGGGAAACUGAAGCUGGGGUUGUGCCGUGACACUCCUAAGAUCCUGUGUGAUAUCAGAAAGAUUUCUGCUCGGGUCUGGGUGAGGCCAGAACCCGCUCUUUCCACCAAGGCUUUGUAUUCCUACCUACACUCAAUGCUUUCGUUUGUUUAUGCACAGUAGGACUAAUAUGUCAGGCACUUGCUGGGCAUUCGGGAGUGCCUCCUCUGGCAAACAUUCCCCACCCUUUGCUUCAGUCAGUUCCUCUGCCUCCAUCAGCGCUGAGUGUUCAGAGAGUGGGGUCCUUGAGUUUUAACUAGCAGUGGCCCCUGUUGUUUCCUUUCCACUCAUUCACCAUUAUUUCUGCUGCUCCUGUGCAAUCCAGGGCUUUCUUAUUGUUAGAGUCAAGCAGGUCACCUAGAGAAAACACACUGCUGUGUGGACAGCUUGUUCUAGGUUUUACCCACUUCUGUUGUCACCACUGUCUACUGUGUGCUCUGCAGCCCUGAAGACAUUUCUCUCUUGUUUGUGAGUGGGCAUCUGCUGUGUGUGUGCGCACGCACAAUCUAUCCAGCCUGGGUCCCUCUUUGGGCUCUUAGGGAAGGCUCUCUAGUAUCUUCAGGGUCAAGGAGCAGGAAGUGGCUGAUGCCAGCUUUUGAUUCCCAAUGGGCAGACCCCAGAUGCAGGGGGAGAAAUGGAGACUGCUCUGCAGAAAGGAGGAGGAGACAGAGGAGACAAGAUGGCAGAGCACAGAGUGGGGCUCAGAGACCAUGGACCUGGCAGUCCUGUCCUCAGAGCUCCCCAGAGUCUUCCCUCCUCUCUAUUCCACAGCCUCAGUUGCUGGGUCAGGUCGGUUACUGCAGUCCUGAACCCUGGUGGACACUUAAGACCCAGAUGGGCAGUGCACAGGUCCUCCAGUGGUGUGGGCUGGGCAAUCCGGAUGUUCCUGCAUCAGGGGGUCUGUGAAGACAAGCUCUGUAGCUACUGGGCCAUGUCAUUGUGCCCUGACUCCUAGCACAAGGCUCAGUGACUCUCCCCAUAGCUGCUGUGACAAAGAGCCCCAAGACCAGCAAGUGCAAAGCAAGGGUUUUGGAAACCAAGACAGACCCAACCCCUGGACUGCAUCUGACAGGCUGCUUCCCCCUCCAAGCUAUGAGUGGUGGGAGGAGGGCAGGGAGGGGGGGCACAGUGUGACACGGUCUGGAAAGUACGUUAUGAAAAUACAAACCGGGCUGGAGAGAUGGCUCAGUGGGUAAGAGCACCCGACUGCUCUUCCGAAGGUCCGAAGUUCAAAUCCCAGCAACCACAUGGUGGCUCACAACCAUCUGUAACAAGAUCUGACUCCCUCUUCUGGAGUGUCUGAAGACAGCU
rnacentral:lncRNA from 1 species